rnacentral:rRNA from 1 species
AACGAACGCUGGCGGCAUGCCUAACACAUGCAAGUCGAACGAGACCUUCGGGUCUAGUGGCGCACGGGUGCGUAACGCGUGGGAACCUGCCCUUAGGUUCGGAAUAACUCCCCGAAAGGGGUGCUAAUACCGGAUAAUGUCUUCGGACCAAAGAUUUAUCGCCUUUGGAUGGGCCGGCGUUGGAUUAGCUAGUUGGUAGGGUAAAAGCCUACCAAGGCGACGAUCCAUAGCUGGUCUGAGAGGAUGAUCAGCCACACUGGGACUGAGACACGGCCCAGACUCCUACGGGAGGCAGCAGGGGGGAAUAUUGGACAAUGGGCGAAAGCCUGAUCCAGCAAUGCCGCGUGAGUGAUGAAGGCCUUAGGGUUGUAAAGCUCUUUUACCCGGGAUGAUAAUGACAGUACCGGGAGAAUAAGCGCCGGCUAACUCCGUG